AAUUUUUUAAAAAAUGUUUAAAUUUGAACUUUAUUGGGAAUCAUACAUUUGCUGGUCAUGUGAUUCACUCAUCAUUCAAAAUAGCACAUGAUUUCAGCCUUCAAGAUCAUUGUCAUAACUGUCAGGGAGGAUUCAUAACUAAACUGAAAAGAGCUGUUACCAGAAUGUACAUCUGAGUUUAAGCGACUUAUUUCCUGGCAAUGUGACACAAUACUGACAAACUAUAUCAGAAGAAGAUUAAGAUUUAUUUAAUGAGCUCAAAGAUCCUUGUUGUCUUUGCAUGCACUUUUUCCCAGCUGCUGGCUCAUUUUGGUCAGUAUUAAAUUUGUAUUUAGCCAACAUGUUCAUGUCAUGUCAUUCCUCCAUGCAACGCCCAUUUAUAUCUACAGCUAUAAUAUGCCAUCUAUGUAUACUGGCAUGGCACUGCUGAUCUCUGAUAAACAUAAGAAAAUAGAGAAGGCUUCUGCUAAACUGUACCACUGGCUUUAAAAGUUCAAAAUUAUGGAAGAUGUGGAACAUUAUAAUAUUUAAAUCACGUUUCCAGCUUUAAGUAUGCAUGGAUGAGUAUGGUAGAUGAGUUGAUAAAGUUUAUUAUAUUUUUGUUUUUAUUAUAUUAUAAGUAGUAUAAUGGUCAAGGGGUGAAAGACGCAAAAUAUACUGUAAACUGGGAGCCAAACUUCAUUAGCUGGGAGCUCAACUGCAUUGCAUGCAUAAAGAGAUCAAAUAGAUUGCUGUGUGUGUGGUGUGCAUGUGCUGGUGGGGAUUAAAGCACAGGUUGGCCUGGGUGCAAGGGACUCACAUUGGCCAGUACUUUUGUACAACCUUACAAUGCAAUUUGCACAUUUAAUAAAUGAAAGAAUUUCAGUCAUGCAAACCUGUCAAAAUGACAAUGACUCAAAAACAAAGAAUAACGUACGUGAAAUACUUGAAAGAGGAAGUGAUUUGGGGCUUUUGUAUUUUGUCUGUACCUUAAACAACAUUAGUUUCUUUAUACUUAAAUAUUAAAAAUGGAUAGUUGGUUGAAAAAUAAUAACAUUGAAAAUGGGUAAAGAGUACAUGUCGGCUUCUGUUUUGUCACUGGUUUCAUUACUAUGUCUAAAGUGAAUGUUGUUUUCUUUAAGGCGCCAUUUUAUCCACCUGCCAACAGAUAACUUCACCUACUGCCAGAGUUUGCGGAAAAAAAUGUGGGAGGAAUUCAAUGCAACAAGUUCAAAGGUAAAGCGUACUGGAAUCCUCUGCUGUCUUGUGUUGCUCAUUAUCAGCUUAACUUGCUUAUAUUUAAGAUAUUUAAUGAGCCUCAUCCCUCCGGACAACAUACUGAAGGCCACUGAAGGAGAAUUGAAACAGAUAGACUUAAACGACGCGCUUAACUUUGGGGCCGCCAUGGAAACCUUCUUUCUUCUGGGAGGGGAUGUUUCACCACAGCCUGGAUGACCAAAUAGACAUUGAAAGCCAGUCAUCUGUGGUCCUCACCGUGUCUGCUGCUGAAACUAGGCGAAAAGCAUCACGCAGCUGUACUGAACAUGAGGGGUUUGAUGCUCGGUCCGGUUCUCUUUUCCAUUUACAUACUCCUUCUUGGUCACCUCAUAUUUCCAGUUUUAUGCAGACAAUACUCAGAUCUACCUAAGCUGUGACCCUGCAAAUCACUAUCAGAACAACGUCAACCUGCUGAACUGCCUUUCAGCAGUGGACACACACAGUUUCCUGCAGCAAAAUGCUGAUAAGACAGAUAUUGAUCAAAAGGUCAUGAUUGUGGACAUUCUCAAAUAGCAAACAGUCUUGUUUCCCGAUCCUGCUCAAUAACUUAGCAUUGCUGUUCAAGGAUAAGACCAUUUCUCUCUGCCAAAAAUCUGGAAAUAUUUAUUUACGCCUUCAUAACCAAUCAGUUAGAUUACUGUAAUUCCCUGCUCUCUGGCAUUAGUAAAAAAAUCUCUGUCCCAUCUCCAGCUCAUCCAAAACUGCCAGGACUUUGAUUCGGACUACGAAACAUUGUACACUGGCCAGGCCACCUGUUGCUUUUAGACUUGAUUUUAAGAUAUUAUUGAUCAGUAACAGAGCUCUUAGAGGCCUAGCCCCAAGCAAUUUAGCGGAUCUUUAAGUGCCCUAUGUCCCUUCCGUCUUUCUGAGAUCCUCGGCUGCAUCGUUCCCAGUUGUUUCAUGUGAUGACCCAAUGAGCAGGUUUCUCCCUAAGAGGUGGGGGGGCAGUUGGUUCAUCAGCAAGAUUCAGUUCUGGUCUGGUGCCAAGACUAUAUAGGCUGGAGGCAAUCAGCAGGUCUCUCUUUUGCUCCCUUGGGUUUCACCCAGUUUGGUUUGGUUGAAUUUCGUUUGUCUUUCUCUUAAUUUCUCUUUUUUUAUAACGUAAAUAAACAUAUUUUUAGUACAACUCGUGUGUUCUCCCCUUCUUUGUCCAGCCUUGAGCCAGUUUUGUCCAGAUUGAUACACAAAGGUGAUAGAGCUUUUGCAUUUAGGACACAUUGACUUUGCAGCUCUGAUUUCCUCAGGUAGAUAAUUCCAAACAGUUGUCUCAUCUUUUAAAUCACUUUUAAACCCACUUAUUUAUUUGAGUUCAUGUUACUCUUUGUUUUGUAAUGUGUUUAGUUUUUAUGGCUCAUUUUAUUCUCUUGUUUUAAAUGUGUUCUGUUUAAUUGUAAAACACUUUGUAACUGUUUUGAAAGGUGCUAUAAAUACCGUUUAUUAUCAUUAUUAUUGACAGCAGACCUACAGGGUUAUGGGGGUAGAGGAUAAAGCUUGUGUUCAGACUCAAAGAAAUGACCCAAGUGUUAAAACUGACUGUAGCCGAUGUGAAUGCAUAUAUGUGAUAGCUGUCUUUAAAUAGUAACAUUAAAAGAAAACAUAACAAUA